rnacentral:lncRNA from 1 species
ACCCGGAGCUGUUGCUCCCACUGGUUGGGAAUAGGAUGAGUAUGGGAUUUUCUUUUGUUUAGGAUAGAUGCAUCAUUUCCUGUAGGUUUGAUAUAUGAAGUUGUAAAAUUUUGAUUUAGCAUACUCAUACUUGGUUUGUUUCAACAAUUUAAUUGUUCCGUUGCGACCGCUAAUGGUACUGAAGUUUGCUGAGACAAAAGAAUAUACCGGGAUAACCUUACAAUCACAUUUUGCAUAUUUUGACCUAUUA